GGAGAGAUGGCCGAGUGGUUUAAGGCGCACGCCUGGAAAGUGUGUAUGCGAUAAUAUCGUAUCGAGGGUUCGAAUCCCUCUCUCUCCG
rnacentral:tRNA from 1 species